rnacentral:rRNA from 1 species
CAGCAGCCGCGGGAAUACGGAGGGGGCUAGCGUUGUUCGGAAUUACUGGGCGUAAAGCGCACGUAGGCGGCUUGGUAAGUUAGAGGUGAAAGCCUGGAGCUCAACUCCAGAAUUGCCUUUAAGACUGCCGAGCUAGCAGGUGAGAGAGGUAAGUGGAAUUCCGAGUGUAGAGGUGAAAUUCGUAGAUAUUCGGAAGAACACCAGUGGCGAAGGCGGCUUACUGGCUCAUACUGGACGCUGAGGUGCGAAAGCGUGGGGAGCAAACAGGAUUAGAUACCCGAGUAGUCCCUGUCUCUAUACA